UUCAUUUGUUUGCCUUUGUUUUUGAAAUCAAUACACUAAAAAAUCUUACAAUUAUCAAUUUUCUCUAUUCUCGCGAUCUUUUACUUUAUGUUACCUUUGUGAAUCCUUCAGAUUCAAGUUUUUUGUGAAUCAAACAAGUAGUACCAGCCCAAAUAGGAUGAAUUCACGAUUCAGUUUUAGCUAUAGUGCCGAUAUAUUUGUUUCGCCUGAUUUUAUAUUUACGAACUUGGAAUUAAAGGUCGCACACAAUUUAAAAAUAGCAGUAAAGUAGUACCAGCCCAAAUUUAAGCCGCAAUACGCAAUAUAUAGGUAUUGUAAUAGGCAUGAUAUACUUCAAAUCUAAUAUUAUUGUUACGGAUGGCCAGACUAGGUAUGUAUAAUGGUGUACAGCAUCACAUAGUCGGGCGAAUAUUUUUCUCACAACAACGUUGGCGAUAGGUGGUAAAAGUGACAUCAUAUUGUUUCUCCCGAAAAUGAUUUUAUAAACCCUAUAGUUUAAAAGAAUGGGAGUUUCAUAAAAGACCAAGGAACAGAAUUGUGAAAUGCAGAAACUGUCAACUAUUGGGCCAAGGCAAAAAGUGGUGCUCAGUACGUACCAAGUGCGGCAAUAGCGGCGGUAAGUACAAAAUCCUCAACGGACCUCGAGGCAAAAUAGAUGAGAUAGUGGAAUUUAUGAGUCGGAGCAAAAAUUAAGAUCGCAGCGGUGCAGGAAACCAAGCUGAAUGAAAAUUGCAGCCUACAACGUUGUUAUGGUUACAAUGUACUAAGGAAGGAUCGCACCAGAAGUGGAGGUGGGGGAUUAGCGUUCCUGUUACACCAUUCUGUUCAGUACAGACCUAUCUCGCUUGAGCUAGUCUCUAGUCACCCAUACAUGGAAUGUAUGGGGGUAGCAGUCAAGUGUGGAACUGCCGAGGUAGAGGUCGCCGAUUAAUAGCUGUGAACCGCGUUAUUUGCCUGAUAUUAGCCCAUUAUUGGUAGGCAAUAACCGCCUGGUACUAGGGGAUUUUAAUGCCCACUAUGAGUUGUGGCGCUGGCAGAGCAGAUUGACUGCUCCACAUUCUUCACGGUUAACGAGGAUGCCCCCCACCCGAAUAAGGGGAGAGUGUCACAGUUCGCCAGAUUUAACCAUAGUGUCACCCGGUCUGAUAAAUGACGUGACUUGGCAACCCGUAAUUUCUCUUGGCUCAGACCAUCUCCCGAUAAUCGUCUCCAUAAGCAGGUCGCCCGAUUUCAUAAAGGAUGAUAGGACCUCAGGAAAAAAGGAUGAUAGGACCUCAGUCACUUUUAACGACGUAACGGUGACUGAUAAGAAGAGGUGCGCGGUAUAUUUUAACCGACAAUUUGUCGAGCACCCCGAGAGCGAUUGGGCGAAGCGAAGAGUACUACGUCGUAUCAGAUCUCUUCCCGCCGAGGAGGAACCACCACAGUUUACGAUGGGUGAUGUUGCAAAUGUCAUCCGUAACGCUAAGUCAUCCAAAGCGUUGGGCCCGAAACCUGGGAAAUGGGCCGUGUGGUCCCGCUACAGAAGCCAAGCAAGGAUGCCAGUAAAGGCGAAUCGUACAGGCCGAUUUCGCUUUUGUCGGCAGUAGCUAAGACUCUUGAGGCUUUAUAGUACGUUUAUAUAUAUGAGGGUUAACCCACUGGGUUUGGAUUUAAAUUGUCAUAUCCACUAUUUUUACUUCAAAUAAAUCCUCUCAAAGUAGGUUAACCCUACAAAAAGUUCUAACGUAAACAUGGCAUUACUCCUCCCCAGCAUUAGAGGAAGCUAUACAGUUGCCAACCACCAGCACGGAUUCCGUCCACAACAGCAUUACACGCCAUUUCCACACAUAUUAGUAGAGGACUGAACCAGAACCGGCCGUGUGACAGAACAGUGUUGGUAGCCCUUGACCUAUCAAAGGCAUUUGAUACGGUCAAUCAAGCCACACUGUUUGAAGACGUGUAGAGAACUACACUCCGGCCAAGUUUGAAACGUUGGAUAAUCAACUAUAUGUGUGUUGAGGUUCCUGGUUCAUUACACCGAUAGGCCAACAAUCGAUACCUCAACUAUUGCUGCUGUCGACCAGAGUGAUUGAUCGCUAAGCUAGAAGAAGCAAGAAGCUAAACUUUGCCACAACAAAAAGAAUAGUUUCAACUAAUAAAUAUAUAAAUUCAGACCGUCAGAGUCUUUUAAUUAAAACAAGUGUUUUAUUGAAGCCUUAACCACCAGUGCCUUAUUAGCAACACGUAAGGCUGGAAAUACAUAAAGAGCAUAUUUCGUUGGCUUAAGUCAGCGCUUUAUGUAUUUCCAGCUUAAGUAUCGCCUGUAUACUUGUUGUGUUGUCUAAUAUUCAUAGUUUUGUUGUUCGUCUUUGUGCAACAAAUAAUACACUUUCGGAUCUAAAUCUACUCUGUAGAUUUAGAACCCCUACAAGUCCAUACGCCUGUAUCGCAACUUGUACAAUGUGUGAACGCCAGUCGUACGUGGAAUCCCGGAACAAGAAGUCCAAAGCCCGUAGAGUAAAACAGGGAUUUCCCCAAGGUGGGGUGAUAUCUCCGGAACUGUUUAACCUCUACCUUUCCGGAAUUCCGCGCCCUCCAGACGGCAUCGAGAUCGUAACGUGUGCGGAUGAUUGUACGGUCAUGGCGUCGGGCCUAGUGGUCGAUGACAUAUGCGAAAGGCUGAACCCCUAUCUCGCGGAGCUUGCCGCAUACUUCCACGCGAGGAAUAUCAAAAUAUCCGCCACGAAAAUAUCUUAACCACAUGGUCUGCGGUGAUGAGAACACAGCUGAAUGUUCAGGUCGAGGGGAAUCUAAUACCGACCACGAACUACCCCAAGAUACUUGGGGUUACGUUCAACAGCAUGUUCAAGUCUUCCGCACAAGCCACAGCUAUUUGCGACAAGAUAAAAAGUAGGAACAAUUUCCUCAAGGCGCUAGCCGGCAGCACUUGGGGUGCGGACAAAGAAACCUUGUUGACUUCAUAUAACGCGAUAGGCUCCAGUAUGGUCUACGAAUACUAGUGCAUCGCAGUGGAAGCAUAUCCAGACCUGCCAGAACGCUGCCCUGAGAACUACGACAGGGUACCUUCUCACGACACCAGUGGACCAUCUACAUGAGGAGGCGAAAGUCCUUCCCUUACGUCAGCAAAAUCAUAUGCUUUCGUUGCAGUACCUGCUUGGGUGUUACCGUGAGAGUCAUCCCAACCAUCAUAUGGUGGAUAAAUCUCCCCCACCCAGGCCUGUCAGGAAGGACAUACAUGAUCUAGAGAGGGAGGUCCAGCGCUACAAGAGAGAACCUCUAGAUCAAGAAGCCUAUCAGACAGGUCUGAGUGGCAUUCACACCGAUGCAGUAGCGGAUGCUAUUAGCAGUUAUAAAGUGAAUGCCGUCCUCGGAGUCCACCCCAUUGCAGCUGAAGAACGUCAGCUGCCUAGACAAACCAGGGUAGUUUUGGCGCAAUUACGUUCAGGAUGGUGUAGUCGUCUCAAUUCGUAUUUGGCACGAAUUGAUGAAGAUGUGCAUGACGCCUGCCCGGCUUGCGAUACAGGCCCGCACAAUACGCUACACCUCUUUAAUUGCACAGCCAAACCUACCUAGCUCACUCCAAAAGAUCUCUGGCUACAGCCCGUUAAAGUAGCCGAAUUUCUACACCUGGAGCUGGAACCAGAUUAGCAGAACGCAAACACAUGCAUGUACUACUGCUACAACAACAACAAAAUCCUCAAUUGAAAGUCAACAUCCAAAAAUUAGUGUGCCAUUUACAACGAAGUGUAAAGCUACCUACAGGGUGAGUUGAAAAACUGUAAGCAACUUCAGACUCCCGUCAUUUCUGUAACAACAAACAACAAUAAUGUUAUUUCAUUUACUCAUGGUACAAUAAGGAGGUAGAACAGCUAAACUGGUUAAUAGCCUUAAUGCGCGAGCCGCUAUGUACAAGAUUUUGAAAAUAUUUUUUUUUUCAUUUUCAAAACAAUAAAUAAAUACACAAAAUUGGCAGAAGUCGGGCACACUUACAAAAAAAUUGUAAACUGCUGAUAGCUCUACCUUACCUUUUUAUUGUACCAUGCAUUUACCAAUGGUUUUUCGAAAAAUAUUACACUCAGGUCUGUUUUGCAACAUAAUAAUGAUUUGUCAUGAAUCAACCAGAAAGGUUGCUCAACUUGCAACUUAACUCAAUGCAAGUCUGUACCGGAGACUUAAGGUAAGGUCACAUUGGGCAAAUAUUUGACGAAAAAUGUGAAAUAUUUCUUUGUCACAAUCUGACCAUCAAAUAUUAUUUGACGGUAAAUACAAAAACAGCUGAUUUUGUGUCCAUAAUGUGAACACAUAUGAUCAAUUAUUUGCUCUUUUUUGGUCAAACAUUUAUUUGACGGUGCAAAUGAUUUGUAAGGUCAAACAAGGAAAAACAUCAGUUUAAAACAUUGGGCAGCAUUUUGCUUUAACAACCGGAGCAUUUGUAACAUGAUGUUUAAUGAAUAAAAUAAAACAAACGAAUGCAAUAAGUGGUUUUGUUUAUUUGAUAUUUUUGAACUAACUGAAUUUGAAUGUUUAGUAAAAAAUGUGUAUAUUUGGUCUGUUCCAGAACUGCCAGAAUGUAAGUGUUUUUACUACGAUAACCGAUUUUCUCUUUAUUAUAUCGAAGAAAAUUGCGAAACUAUUAGAUUCUUGCAGGUUCUGGAACAAGAUAUAGGUAGAUGCAUCAACGCUUGAAACAAUGAUAUGCCAAAAAUUUUGAAAUGUUUUGACAAAAAUAAGUAGAUUUUUCUAUGUUUUCCUAUACGGCGAAAAAUCGGAGGUUGCAAUGAUAUAUAUUUUUCAACAAUUUUUACAAAUUUCAAUAAUAUUUCAUUCAUUAUUUUCAAUUCCAAAAUUGUUUUGACAGUUUAUUGUCCCAGCAGCUAUGUCGAUGUAACUACCUGUAUUCUUCUACCAUGAUACAAACAAAAAUGCAAAAUAAAAUUUUUGUAACAAGGAAUUUAUUCCACAACAGCUGGUCUUUUGCUUCCCUUCUCCAAAUAAAUUAUACCCGAAACUACAUUUUCUUUAUGUCUCUCUUUCACUCUCUCUGUCUAUUUCUCUUGGCCAAAUAAAUUUAUGUUUCCUCACAGUUUGAUCAAACAAUUUAAUGGGAAAAUAUAUUUUACGAAUGUGAACAUGUGUCAAACAUGUUUUCCCAUAGCACUGUUUGACGCUGUUUGGUGGCUGCUUGAACAAACAAAAUCUGUCAAAUAUUUGACUGUAAUGUGAACAUCGAAUCAACUCUGUAUGAAUUUCACAUUUGUUCAGUCAAAUAUGGGAAAACAAAUUUCGAUCAAAUAUUUGCCCAGUGUGACCGUACCUUUAUAAAGCACAUUUAUACUAUUGAAGAUUAAUCCAUUAGGUAUAUUAGUUUCAGUAGAUUAAUCUUAAAUCUUCUAUUAGAAAAUAAGAGUUUUCAUAUGUAGUCUCAAAUUUUCUAUACGUAGCAGUUGCACACAUCAUGUAAAGCAUGGACGACAUUGCAGUUGAGAAAUACAUAAUUAAAGUACAUAUGUGCAUUUUCGAUCACAACGAUCAUUUUUUUAUCGGAACAAAAUAAUUUAAUCAAAAGUCUUGUUUGUCUAUAAUAUAAAAUUAAAUUUGAGGUAAAAAGUCAUCCAUAAAGUAUUAUAAUUUUUGAGAAAAUACAAUAUAAUCGCAAUGAUAGUAAGAAUUAUGAGUCAUAUGUAAAAUGGCAAUUUUCACAUACACUCAAAAAUACACAUAAAUAACAAUAGUGACAGGACAUAAGUAAACCCCUUAUCGUUUGAUACCAGCUAAUGCUAUGUUCUCAUUACAAGUCCAAUCACGUUGUUCGCUCUCAGAAUUACGUACACGAAUUAACUCGUUCAUACGAUACAUUCGUGAUUAAUUUGGACAAUUCCACUCCGUCGUUUCAAUAAUAGUUAUACAUAUUUCCGUUCAAUAUUUAAAUUAUAAAAUGGACAAUUUCAAUGCAAAAGGUAAGUAAAAUAAUUGUAAUAUGCAAAUAUAUGCGUUCUUGUCAAAUUUAGGAAGCCGAAAAAUUCCCAGCAAGUGGGAUGUAAGAGCCGAACAAGCUCUAUUGGAAGUCCAAUCACGUUGUUCGCUCUCAGAAUUACGUACACGAAUUAACUCGUUCAUACGAUACAUUCGUGAUUAAUUUGGACAAUUCCACUUCGUCGUUUCAAUAAUAGUUAUACAUAUUUCCGUUCAAUAUUUAAAUUAUAAAAUGAACAAUUUCAAUGCAAAAGGAAGCCGAAAAACUCCCAGCAAGUGGGAUGUAAGAGCCGAACAAGCUCUAUUGGAAGUUUGGAGUAAUUAUAUGGGCCAACUACGAGGAUGUCGCAAAAACAGUCAUAUUCUAAAAGAGAUGACCGAAGAAUUAAAAAAAAAUUGGAUUUACAUAUACGGCUUGUGAAUUACAAACAAAAAUGCAUAACAUAACAGCGAGCUAUAGGUAUGUUUUGAAAGAACCGUUAAUAAUUUGUUAAUAGUUUUUUUAGGAGGGAAAAACGUAAAUUGGCACAACUGGGGGAUCGCCAUCGGAGUGGGACCUGUACAAGGAUGUAGAGAUCCUCCUAGCGCCGUGCAAGAACUUGAAUACAGAGUUCCUGGUUGUGGAUAAUAAAGAUAAUGUUAAUAGCAUUUUGACGUGCGACGUACCUACCGUAGAAUAUUCACCCCCUUCAUCACCGCCCAUGAUCACUGAUCAAUACAUCUCAAAUCCCCCAGACUACUCACCAGAAAUGUCACAAGCCUCAACAUUCAGCAGUCAUUUCAUAUGCAAUUCUCCAGAUCCCCCAACAGAAAUGCCUUCAACUUCAUCAUCAUCCAGGAAGAGAAAAAGAGACAAAUAAUAUGUAGAAAAAGUAUAGAAAAAAUAAACGUUUUAAUAGAAAUAGAAAAAAAGGAAGCAAUUGAGGAAAGAAAGGAAAUUUUUGGAAAGAGAGGCAGAGGUACAAAAAGCGUUGAUAACAUUUUUAAAAAAUACUAAAGCAUCUGAACCAUAAUGUUAUAAUUUCUAUCUUUCUUUGUAAUUUAUUUGUAUCUUAUAUGUUUAUAUAUUUUUUUACUCAAAUACAUAUAUAUUAA